rnacentral:pre_miRNA from 1 species
UCUUAUGGAUGAGCAAAGAAAGUAGUUUCUUGAGAUGGAAUCUACUCCUGGUAAAGACGCCAUGAA